rnacentral:rRNA from 1 species
UACGGAGGGGGCUAGCGUUGUUCGGAAUUACUGGGCGUAAAGCGCGCGUAGGCGGAUCUGCAAGUCGGGGGUGAAAUCCCGAGGCUCAACCUCGGAACUGCCUUCGAUACUGCGGGUCUCGAGUCCGGGAGAGGUGAGUGGAAUUCCUAGUGUAGAGGUGAAAUUCGUAGAUAUUAGGAAGAACACCAGUGGCGAAGGCGACAUCCUGGACCGGUAUUGACGCUGAGGCGCGAAAGCCAGGGGAGCAAACGGG